GAGAGAGAGAGAGAGAGAGAGAACAGCAGUCACUGUGUAAUGCACUAGUAAGACUGAGAAGACAGAGAGGAAGAGGAAUAAAAAUGAAAAUGCGUUACUACUGAACGCGGCAGAGCAGAAGACCUAAGAACCAUUCUGGACACACACUUGGACACAGAACACGGCGAGCUUUACAGAAACCUUCUCUACAGGAAGAUAACAGAUGACAGCUGGGGUUCGGUGAGAUCUGAUUGGCUACCUGUUCCUCUGCCAGCUGCAGUAAAAAAAAAAAAAAAAAAACCACCCAAAAGCACAAGAGCUGCGUUAUCCAUGACUUCUUAAAGCAGCAGCGGCAGAUCUGCAGUCAUCUUCCUGCUCUGGUGGCUUUCUGGUUUGUCUCAAAGAUGCCUGCUGCGUGCUUACCUUGGGAAAGUCAUAAAAGAGAUUCUUUUGAGUCAGGAAUAAUGGCAUGUUUUAGGUAGAAGGAAACAGAGAUAGCAGCAGACACACAGACAGAGAGUUGAAGAAGUGAGUAAAAUUUUCCGACUGCUGUUCAUGUUCAUGUAGGUCAGGAUUGUUUCAGCUACUAAUUGGCCAAUCGUGUAUCAUACAGGGUCAGGUGUCCCGGCCUGGCCUCCGCUUUACUGCUGCAUGCCCAAUAAGUCUCUCUAGAGCAUGCAUUCAGACGUAGUUUUUGCCAAGAGGGUGUGUGUGGGAGCGAGAGAAACGGAGAGGUCUGUGUUUUGCAAUGAUGUAAUCAGAGUCCAUGCCAGUGAGAACUCGAGUCAUUGAGCUUUACACGAUACUCAGCCGAGCUCAACCGACAACCAAGUGACAUGCCAAUCCUUCGUCAUUUAUUUACCUGUGGCUUUUUGUAGCCUGCUUCAUCGCAGACACCUGAUUCCUCUUCUCCCUCUACUUCUUCUAGAGCUCUGGCUGAGUUUAGCUGACCUCUCUCCCUCUCUCUCUCUUACAUUCUCCCACUCAUCGUCUAACUUUAAUCAAGUAAAUGGAUGCAUUCAAAUGCUGCUAAUUUCAGUGCAGGUAAUUGCUCGCCUUUAAUUAAAUGCGAUCAAAAGAGCAUUUUAAGUGAUUAAAAGAAUCAAAACGACACAGUUACGGCCUCAGGAUAUUACGGAUGGAAGGAUAUACAAUGCUGCGUCAGACGAAAGAUAUUUCCUUUGGAUUUUUUAUGGACAGCCAUUCCAGUCGAAUAAUAAGUCAUUGUUAGAUGCAAAUGCACAUCGGUGCUGUAUCAGCUCUAAGGCCCCUUUUUUUUUUUCUUUCCUGAUGGUCUAUAAAUGACAGUUGAGUGACUGUACAGUCUUUAAGACCAGCUGUGCAGUGUAAUGCAGUUUUUGAAGAUUGAAAUUGACAUAGCAUAUGCAGCACGGUACAGAAGUGUGUAUAUAUGCAUGUAAAACCAUCAUUAUUAUCAAUACUGCGAAUUUGUGCAGACAAUACUUGAGUCCAUUAUAUGCAAAUUAAGGGUUUGAAACAAUAUUUAAUCUUUUUUUAUAUAUAUAUAUAUCUGUAUGUCUAUUAUUGCUCUCAACAGCUGAUUUAGAUCUCAAGCUCUGCUUUCAUAUAUACAACAUUUAGUCCAUUUAAAUAUAAAACAUGAAAAAAUUUUAGCCUAUGUAUAGUAUGAUUUGAUUACAUAUUUAGCACAGGCUACAUGUUCUUGGGUGAUUAAUUUUGUGGUAUUGUGUACACUGUCAAUAAAGAAAUCAUAUUCUACUCCAUU